rnacentral:rRNA from 1 species
UGGCGGACGGGUGAGUAAUGUCUGGGAAACUGCCUGAUGAGGGGGGAUAACUACUGGAAACGGUAGCUAAUACCGCAUAACGUCGCAAGACCAAAGAGGGGGACCUUCGGGCCUCUUGCCAUCGGAUGUGCCCAGAUGGGAUUAGCUAGUAGGUGGGGUAACGGCUCACCUAGGCGACGAUCCCUAGCUGGUCUGAGAGGAUGACCAGCCACACUGGAACUGAGACACGGUCCAG